UACGUAGGGACCAAGCGUUGUCCGGAAUUAUUGGGCGUAAAGAGCUCGUAGGCGGUUUGUCGCGUCUGCCGUGAAAAGUCCGGGGCUCAACUCCGGAUCUGCGGUGGGUACGGGCAGACUAGAGUGAUGUAGGGGGAGACUGGAAUUCCUGGUGUAGCGGUGAAAUGCGCAGAUAUCAGGAGGAACACCGGUGGCGAAGGCGGGUCUCUGGGCCGAUACUGACGCUGAGGAGCGAAAGCAUGGGGGAGCGAACAGG
rnacentral:rRNA from 1 species